ACGGGAGGCAGCAGUGGGGAAUAUUGCACAAUGGGGGAAACCCUGAUGCAGCGACGCCGCGUGAGUGAAGAAGUAUUUCGGUAUGUAAAGCUCUAUCAGCAAGGAAGAAAAUGACGGUACUUGACUAAGAAGCCCCGGCUAACUACGUGCCAGCAGCCGCGGUAAUACGUAGGGGGCGAGCGUUGUCCGGAAUGACUGGGCGUAAAGGGCGUGUAGGCGGCCUGAUAAGUCUGGAGUGAAAGUCCUGCUUUCAAGGUGGGAAUUGCUUUGGAGACUGUCGGGCUUGAGUGCGGAAGAGGUAAGUGGAAUUCCCAGUGUAGCGGUGAAAUGCGUAGAGAUUGGGAGGAACACCAGUGGCGAAGGCGACUUACUGGGCCGUAACUGACGCUGAGGCGCGAAAGCGUGGGGAGCGAACAGGAUUAGAUACCCUGGUA
rnacentral:rRNA from 1 species